CAGACGAUCUGGGUAAAACAGUUUCAACGACCUGCCAAAUGGCCCCACCCAUCAACCGCCCUACUAGGAAGACCUCUGAAGCAACCUUCAGACUCCCUCGAGGUAAUAUCAGAUUUUCAAGAGGUUUGGACUGACCCAUCUUUAUCUCAGGUACUGCAAAAAGUUCCAAACAGAGAUAAGUCAGGAUAAUCUUUUGUCAAGAUAAU
rnacentral:lncRNA from 1 species